AAGUGAGGACUGGGUGAGGCUGUGGCUGUUCAGCAUGGCUGUGGCUGAAGGCUAAAAGCCUUGGCUGCCUGUCUGUGGCCAGAUGUGCAGCUGACAUCUGUGUCCAAUUCAGCCCUCACUACUGGAGUAACCCCAACAUCAGGCUCUCAGUCUGGGGCAAGGAUGAUUCCAUUUGCACAAAUCGAUCUCCUGGAGGAAGAUUUGUUAGCUACGGCAAGCACACUGUAGGCACAGUGUAGCAGAGUGUGUCAUCUGACAAGAGAGAAAAAGGGGUCACCUACAAAAAGGGUUGUCCUCAGAAAGUCAUGGCUGCAGGAAUGGUUUUGCAGCUCUUCACUCCAAGGCUGAAGAAAGGAUCAAAGACAAGUCAAAGCAAUUAUUCAAAUAUCAAAAUUGUCAAGGGAGUCUGAAUUUGCAUCUCUCAAUGAACUCCAUAUCCUCAGUUCCACGGGAACAGCCUGUUUUGGGAAGGACACUUGUACAAUGCAGGCAAGAAACUCCACACUGCAUCCUCAGCCAAGAAAAGAAGAGCUUCUCACUUGGGUUCUCUGGGUACUUGCUGAUAUAAGCAUUUAUAGGUGGAAGAUACCUUCGAAAGCACAACUUUGUGGCAAACUAGCUUACGGUAGAACUGUCCUAAACUGUCUCUGGAAGUGAAUACAAGCUGAGUUCAUAAAAGAAGAGGAAUUUGCUAUUUUUCUGAAAUGUUUGUGUUCAUUGUCUGAUGCUCUAGACCACAAGUUGUUUUCUAGUUCAUCUGUAUCUAUUCAGAAUAAAUUACAUAAAUUUCA